UACGGAGGGUGCAAGCGUUAUCCGGAAUUACUGGGUUUAAAGGGUGCGUAGGCGGCUAUAUAAGUCAGAGGUGAAAGCCCGGAGCUUAACUUCGGAAUUGCCUUUGAUACUGUAUAGCUUGAAAGAGGUUGAGGUCAGCGGAAUGUGACAUGUAGCGGUGAAAUGCAUAGAUAUGUCAUAGAACACCAAUUGCGAAGGCAGCUGGCUGGGCCUACUUUGACGCUGAGGCACGAAAGCGUGGGGAGCGAAC
rnacentral:rRNA from 1 species